rnacentral:rRNA from 1 species
UACGUAGGGUGCAAGCGUUAAUCGGAAUUACUGGGCGUAAAGCGUGCGCAGGCGGCUUUGCAAGACAGAUGUGAAAUCCCCGGGCUUAACCUGGGAACUGCAUUUGUGACUGCAGGGCUGGAGUGCGGCAGAGGGGGAUGGAAUUCCGCGUGUAGCAGUGAAAUGCGUAGAUAUGCGGAGGAACACCGAUGGCGAAGGCAAUCCCCUGGGCCUGCACUGACGCUCAUGCACGAAAGCGUGGGGAGCAAGCAGG